UUCCUUUUUGCUGGUAGGGCCGGGUGGUUGCUGCCGAAAUGGGCAAGUUCAUGAAACCUGGGAAGGUGGUGCUUGUCCUGGCUGGACGCUACUCCGGACGCAAAGCUGUCAUCGUGAAGGUACUCUGUGGAUAUCCCCUUGGACAAAACUGUCGUCAAUAAGGAUGUCUUCAGAGAUCCUGCUCUUAAACGCAAGGCCCGACGGGAGGCCAAGGUCAAGUUUGAAGAGAGAUACAAGACAGGCAAGAACAAGUGGUUCUUCCAGAAACUGCGGUUUUAGAUGCUUUGUUUUGAUCAUUAAAAAUUAUAAAGAAAAAAA
rnacentral:lncRNA from 1 species